rnacentral:rRNA from 1 species
UUUGAUUAAUAAUUUAAAGUUUAAUUUGCCCCCUGAUAAAUUAUUAAAGGGCUGCAGUAUUUUGACUGUACAAAGGUAGCAUAAUCAUUAGUCUCUUAAUUGGUGACUUGUAUGAAAGAUUGGAUGAAAUAUAAACUGUCUUAUUAUUAAAAAUAGAAUUUAAUUUUUUAGUUAAAAAGCUAAAAUAUAUUUAAAAGACGAGAAGACCCUAUAGAGUUUUAUAUAAUUUAUAAUUAUAAAUUUAUAUAUAAAUAUUAAAUUUAAAUUAUGUUUUAUAUUUUAUUGGGGUGAUAGAAAAAUAAAAAAAACUUUUUAUAAAUUUAAUAUUAAUUUUUAAAUUAUUAUUAAUUAAACAUUUAUAAAUGAAUAAAUGAUCCAAAAAUUUUGAUUAAAAGAUUAAAUUACCUUAGGGAUAACAGCGUAAUUUUUUUUUUUAGUUCAUAUAAAAAAAAAAGUUUGCGACCUCGAUGUUGGAUUAAAAUAAAAUUUAAAUGCAAAAGUUUAAAAUUUUGAUCUGUUCGAUCAUUAAAAUCUUAC